GGAGAGAUGGAUGAGCGGUUUAAGUCACACGCCUGGAAAGCGUGCGGGGGCUAAUAACCCCCCGCGGGUUCGAAUCCCGCUCUCUCCGCCA
rnacentral:tRNA from 1 species